UACGUAGGGUGCAAGCGUUGUCCGGAAUUAUUGGGCGUAAAGGGCUCGUAGGCGGUCCAUCACGUCGGGAGUGAAAAGCUGGGGCUUAACCCCAGUCCUGCUUCCGAUACGGGUGGACUAGAGGUAGGCAGGGGAGAACGGAAUUCCUGGUGUAGCGGUGAAAUGCGCAGAUAUCAGGAGGAACACCUAUAGCGAAGGCAGCUUGCUGGGACGACACUGACGCUGAGGCGCGAAAGCGUGGGGAGCGAACAGG
rnacentral:rRNA from 1 species